rnacentral:rRNA from 1 species
GGGUGGUAAUGCCGGAUGCUCCGACUCCUCGCAUGGGGUGUCGGGAAAGAUUUCAUCGGUAUGGGAUGGGGUCGCGUCCUAUCAGGUAGUCGGCGGGGUAACGGCCCACCGAGCCUACGACGGGUAGCCGGCCUGAGAGGGCGACCGGCCACAUUGGGACUGAGAUACGGCCCAGACUCCUACGGGAGGCAGCAGUGGGGAAUAUUGCACAAUGGGCGCAAGCCUGAUGCAGCGACGCCGCGUGCGGGAUGACGGCCUUCGGGUUGUAAACCGCUUUUGAUCGGGAGCAAGCCUUCGGGUGAGUGUACCUUUCGAAUAAGCACCGGCUAACUACGUGCCAGCAGCCGCGGUAAUACGUAGGGUGCAAGCGUUAUCCGGAAUUAUUGGGCGUAAAGGGCUCGUAGGCGGUUCGUCGCGUCCGGUGUGAAAGUCCAUCGCUUAACGGUGGAUCUGCGCCGGGUACGGGCGGGCUGGAGUGCGGUAGGGGAGACUGGAAUUCCCGGUGUAACGGUGGAAUGUGUAGAUAUCGGAAAAGAACACC